rnacentral:rRNA from 1 species
UACGGAGGGCGCGAGCGUUAAUCGGAAUCACUGGGCGUAAAGCGUGCGUAGGCGGCCCGGCCAGUCCCGCGUGAAAGCCCCGGGCUCAACCUGGGAACUGCGCGGGAAACUGCCGGGCUGGAGUGCGGUAGAGGGCGGUGGAAUUUCCGGUGUAGCAGUGAAAUGCGUAGAGAUCGGAAGGAACACCAGUGGCGAAGGCGGCCGCCUGGGCCUGCACUGACGCUGAGGCACGAAAGCGUGGGGAG